ACGGGGCCCGCACAAGCGGCGGAGCAUGCGGAUUAAUUCGAUGCAACGCGAAGAACCUUUACCAGGUCUUGACAUCCCGAUGCUAUUUCUAGAGAUAGAAAGUUACUUCGGUACAUCGGUGACAGGUGGUGCAUGGUUGUCGUCAGCUCGUGUCGUGAGAUGUUGGGUUAAGUCCCGCAACGAGCGCAACCCCUAUUGUUAGUUGCCAUCAUUCAGUUGGGCACUCUAGCGAGACUGCCGGUAAUAAACCGGAGGAAGGUGGGGAUGACGUCAAAUCAUCAUGCCCCUUAUGACCUGGGCUACACACGUGCUACAAUGGUUGGUACAACGAGUUGCGAGUCGGUGACGGCGAGCUAAUCUCUUAAGGCCAAUCUCAGUUCGGAUUGUAGGCUGCAACUCGCCUACAUGAAGUCGGAAUCGCUAGUAAUCGCGGAUCAGCACGCCGCGGUGAAUACGUUCCCGGGCCUU
rnacentral:rRNA from 1 species